UUGGAGGGCAAGUCUGGUGCCAGCAGCCGCGGUAAUUCCAGCUCCAAUAGCGUAUAUUAAAGCUGUUGCAGUUAAAAAGCUCGUAGUUGAAUUUCGGGAUCAGUAGGCUGGUCGUGCCUCAGGUACGUACUGGUCUUACUGAUUCCUCCUUCCUGACGAACCGUAAUGCCAUUAAUUUGGUGUUGCGGGGAAUCUGGACUGUUACUUUGAAAAAAUUAGAGUGUUUAAAGCAGGCUAACGCUUGAAUACAUUAGCAUGGAAUAAUGAAAUAGGACGAUCGAUCCUAUUUUGUUGGUUUCUAGGAUUGACGUAAUGAUUAAUAGGGAUAGUUGGGGGCAUUAGUAUUCAAUUGUCAGAGGUGAAAUUCUUGGAUUUAUUGAAGACUAACUACUGCGAAAGCAUUUGCCAAGGAUGUUUUCAUUAAUCAAGAACGAAAGUUAGGGGAUCGAAGACGAUCAGAUACCGUCGUAGUCUUAACCAUAAACUAUGCCGACUAGGGAUCGGAUGAUGUUAAUUUUUUAAUGACUCAUUCGGCGCCUUACGGGAAA
rnacentral:rRNA from 1 species